rnacentral:rRNA from 1 species
UACGUAGGGUGCAAGCGUUGUCCGGAAUUAUUGGGCGUAAAGAGCUCGUAGGCGGUCUGUUGCGUCGGCUGUGAAAGCCCGGGGCUUAACCCCGGGUCUGCAUUCGAUACGGGCAGACUAGAGUGUGGUAGGGGAGAUCGGAAUUCCUGGUGUAGCGGUGAAAUGCGCAGAUAUCAGGAGGAACACCGGUGGCGAAGGCGGAUCUCUGGGCCAUUACUGACGCUGAGGAGCGAAAGCGUGGGGAGCGAACAGG